ACAAGGUUUGUAAUAUGACAUCAUUUUCACUAGAAUCAUUAUUGACUCUUUUCUGCCCUCUAAGCUACUCAAAGACUGUUUUUCACCUCACUGAUUCCUCCCUCAACCCACCUCACACAGGCAGAUUAAAGGAAAGGAGAACAAGAUGUAAAAGGACCUGAACAAAGCAGUGACAUCAGAGCUGAUGGAGUUUUUAAUGCUACACAUUGGAAGUACUCCAUGUGCAGAAAUCGAUUAAGUUGUUGAAAUGAAAGGCUUUGAAUAAGACUUUGCAAUGCCAGAGGAUCACAUAUUGAAAGUUGGAAGGUCCUCUUACAGAUUCAACCACCUACUUUUUCAAGGCAAAAUAUAUAAUUUCUCUUCAACUGGCCCUCCUUUGGCAUGGUCGCAAAUCCAUGAAUGGCGGGGGAAAAAUUACGAACAAUAAAAAUUAAAGAAAAAUGAAGGAAAAAUAAUUGUAUUUGAGAAGAAAUUACUACAGGUCAAAGAAUAAUCAAGAAACACUAUAUUUCAAAAAACAGUUGAGUGUUAGCAAAGUGUAAUAAAGAGUAAACUGAGAGAAA